UUAACAUGUGGCUGUUUUGUAUUGGGUAUCUAAAAUACUACCGUACGCACACACACACAGGAUCAUCACAACUAAAACACACGAUUUAGGGGUUUCUUCUUCCUUCUUCGAUUUUUUUCCUCUCCCUCUCUCUGAUUUCAGAGCCGCCGAACCCGAAGAACCUUUCCUUUCCUCUGCGUGAAACCAUUGUUGCAGCCAUCCUUGUUCUUCUUCAGCCGUCGCGCCGUCGUCCUCGUCACGCAAGCAGGCAAGAAGGGCAUUGCGGGCUUUGAGGGGGUUGGUGAGGUUGAAAUCAUUGAUAGAGGGCCAAUCUGUUAAACGGCAAGCAACUACCACACUAAGAUGCAUGCAGACUCUUGCUCGUGUGCAGUCUCAGAUUCGUGCAAGGAGAAUCAGAAUGUCUGAGGAGAAUCAGGCACUACAGCGACAGCUCCAACACAAACAAGAGAAAGAGCUUGAGAAAUUCAAAGCUUCUAUAUUAUGAGUUCAUCCACACCUAGCACCAUAGCUCCAACUACUUUUCAAUGUUAGGAGGAAUUUAAUUUGGGUUGUAAUGUAUAUUUGGAUUGAAUUUGGGUUGUAUUUGGCUAGUAAUUUAUUUUGGAACUUAUUUUGUUGAAGUUUGAUUUAAUUUGGG